UAAAAGCAAAAGCCAUCAUGCACCGCGGCUCCCCAGGACCUGGGUUGCCCACCCCUGGCUUAGGCCUAUACAAAUCACACUGUAGGCUACGUUAAAGCUGAAUUAGGCUACCAAAACUGAUGAAAAAUCACGGAAAGCAAUUAAAUACUAAAAACGGAGGAAAUCGUGGAGAUGAAAAAAAAAAUAAAAAUCACGGAAUCCGUGACACCCAUGAAUUCCUUGCCAAACACCCAGCCGUAGCCAGACGCUAACCAAACUUGUUUGAAUCGUGAUGUAGGCUACUUCAUGCACGACUUCCAAGGUACGCCCUGCAACACGCGUGACACACAACGUGUCCUAAUUCUGUCACGGAUGAACAGUCGCUGAAAUGUGAAAUGGCCGCCGCCGAAUCCGUCGACCCUUCGGACAUCUUGAAGAGGGGGGCGACAGCCGAGCCAACAGGUUUCCCGUUGAAUCGAAGGGGCGCGGUGCCUGCUUGCUUCCUUUGAACGAUGCCGUCAGACUUGACCCGUCUGAGAGAAUUCAUGCAGCGCCCAGUUUGUUUUACUGUUGUCGGACGCUUAACCCCUUUAAGGCAUGAAUCAUCUUCUUUAAAAAAAAAAAAAAACAAAGAAAUAAAUAUAUGAAUCUCAAAUCUCUAAAGACGGUCUUGUUGCGACAAACUCAGGGUUUUAUUUGGUAUCUGACACACAUGCGUGCCUUGGAACGAGCAGCAUUUGUAACAGACCUCUCUACAUCGGAUUCCUCAUGGUCGUCAUCCAAGCCCCAAACAUACAAAAGUAAACAUUUGUUGAGGCUUAGAUUUCUUCUUGGAAUAAAUCGGCCAUUUGAUUUGCUGUAAUCCGUUUCAUCCAAUUGUUUGUCUUGUCUUUUUUUUUAUUUUAGAGUUUUUCCAUUUUUGCUGGCUUCAGUGUAGAUUAUCAUUUAUUUGUGGGCUUUGCUGCAUAUUUAUGCCAGUUCCUUCAUGCGGUCAUUGACAUCUACUGUUAUCUGGGGAUAUUAUUUUGUUCUGGGGUCAUUUGGAGAAUGUUCAUGCCUGAUGUUGAGGAGUUGGAGAUGGAUGAAGUGAGAGAGUGUGUAAAGUUGUCUGAGCCUUCUGGGCGACUCGGCUUGUGGCCAGGUUCGGUUCUCGUUCUGCCAGUUAGAUUUUUAAUAAAGCAGGAAUAUUGAGCAGUU